AGCAGCCGCGGUAAUUCCAGCUCCAAUAGCGUAUAUUAAAGUUGUUGCAGUUAAAAAGCUCGUAGUUGAAUUUCGGGGUUAGUAGGUUGGUCAUGCCUCUGGUAUGUACUGGUCUCACUGGUUCCUCCUUCCUGAUGAGCCGUAAUGCCAUUAAUUUGGUGUUGCGGGGAAUUUGGACUGUUACUUUGAAAAAUUAGAGUGUUUAAAGCAAGCUAACGCUUGAAUACAUUAGCAUGGAAUAAUGAAAUAGGACGUUCGAUCCUAUUUUGUUGGUUUCUAGGAUUGACGUAAUGAUUAAUAGGGAUAGUUGGGGGCAUUAGUAUUCAAUUGUCAGAGGCGAAAUUCUUGGAUUUAUUGAAGACUAACUACUGCGAAAGCAUUUGCCAAGGAUGUUUUCAUUAAUCAAGAACGAAGUUAGGGGAUCGAAGACGAUCAGAUACCGUCGUAGUCUUAACCAUAAACUAUGCCGACUAGGGAUCGGAUGAUGUUAAUUUUUAUGUACUCAUUCGGCGCCUUACGG
rnacentral:misc_RNA from 1 species